rnacentral:rRNA from 1 species
CAAUAGCGUAUAUUUAAGUUGUUGCAGUUAAAAAGCUCGUAGUCGGAUUUUGGCUGAGAACGAUCGGUCCGCCGUUAGGUGUGCACUGAUUGGUCUCAGCUUCCUGGUGAGGAGGUGUGCUUCACGGCCACUUAGUCACCGUGGUUACUUUGAAAAAAUUAGAGUGUUCAAAGCGGGCUUACGCUUGAAUAUAUUAGCAUGGAAUAACACCAUAGGACUCCUGUCCUAUUUCGUUGGUCUCGGGACGGGAGUAAUGAUUAAGAGGAACAGUUGGGGGCAUUCGUAUUUCAUUGUCAGAGGUGAAAUUCUUGGAUUUAUGAAAGACGAACUACUACGAAAGCAUUUGCCAAGGAUGUUUUCAUUAA